AGAGUUUGAUCAUGGCUCAGGACGAACGCUGGCGGCGUGCCUAAUACAUGCAAGUAGAACGCUGACUACUUUAGCUUGCUAGAGUAGAAGGAGUUGCGAACGGGUGAGUAACGCGUAGGUAACCUGCCUACUAGCGGGGGAUAACUAUUGGAAACGAUAGCUAAUACCGCAUAACAGUGUUUAACACAUGUUAGAUGCUUGAAAGAUGCAAAUGCAUCACUAGUAGAUGGACCUGCGUUGUAUUAGCUAGUUGGUGGGGUAACGGCCUACCAAGGCGACGAUACAUAGCCGACCUGAGAGGGUGAUCGGCCACACUGGGACUGAGACACGGCCCAGACUCCUACGGGAGGCAGCAGUAGGGAAUCUUCGGCAAUGGGGGCAACCCUGACCGAGCAACGCCGCGUGAGUGAAGAAGGUUUUCGGAUCGUAAAGCUCUGUUGUAAGAGAAGAACGUGUGUGAGAGUGGAAAGUUCACACAGUGACGGUAACUUACCAGAAAGGGACGGCUAACUACGUGCCAGCAGCCGCGGUAAUACGUAGGUCCCGAGCGUUGUCCGGAUUUAUUGGGCGUAAAGCGAGCGCAGGCGGUUUAAUAAGUCUGAAGUUAAAGGCAGUGGCUUAACCAUUGUUCGCUUUGGAAACUGUUAAACUUGAGUGCAGAAGGGGAGAGUGGAAUUCCAUGUGUAGCGGUGAAAUGCGUAGAUAUAUGGAGGAACACCGGUGGCGAAAGCGGCUCUCUGGUCUGUAACUGACGCUGAGGCUCGAAAGC
rnacentral:rRNA from 1 species